rnacentral:lncRNA from 1 species
CUGCAACCUCCGCCUGCCAGGUUCAAGCGAUUCUCCUGCCUCAGCCUCCUGAGUAGCUGGGAUUACAGGAAGGCUCCACCACGCCCAGCUAAUUUUUGUAUUUUUAGUAGAGAUGGGGUUUCACCGUGUUGGUCAGGUUGGUCUCAAACUCUUCACCUUGCGAUCUGCCCGCCUCGGCCUCCCAAAGCACUGGGAUUAGAGGUGUGGACCACAGUGCCUGGCCCAAAAACGUCAUGCAUUUUCCAUGCUGUGGUUUUGUACGCAGGAGCCAAUACCUUUUUUUUUUUUUUUUUUCCUGGGAGGCAAAUGCUUCCUAAGGCUCCCCCAAAGCUUGCUCCGUAACAGCCCAGGCAGGCCAGACCCCACCCUGCCGAGCCCCAGUGCCCCGAGUUUGAGCCCCGGGCUCACCUGCACCAUCCCAUUGCUGAACAGCAGCAGCAGGGCGUGCUCAGAGGCCAGGAAGCGCAGGAGGCAGAGGCCGGGUCCAGCAGGUGGCACAGGUGUGGGGAGGGUCCCCUCCUGUGGACAGACUCGGCUGAGGUCACGUGACGCAGGGGGCGUCCCCACCCCUCGCCCCCACACCCAGCACCCCAGCUCUCACCUCCCGCAGCCGCCGCCGCAGGCAGCCGGCAAAGAGCUGCAGCACGGCCAGCUUGGCGCCCAGCAGGCCGGGCACAUCCCUCAGGGCGAAGGCUUCCAGCCUCCCGCAGUUGGGCAUGUAGCACACUUGGCUGGGGCCAGGACACAGGGCCUCUGUCCUGGACAGCCCAGGCCAGUGGACACCCUUCCAUUGACCUACACCCCCUGGAAUGGUGGCUUUAAAGAGCAGCUCUGCCCUAGUUACACCUUAUCCAUAUGCCCAGUGCGGCUCUCUGUCCUCUCUUCACCUCAGCUGACAGCUGGUCCACCCUUCCUGCCUUCCAACUCUAUCCACACUGCAGCCCCUCUCAUCCCUCCCCGGUCACCAGCACAGCCCAGGCCUCCGCCACUGCCCACCUGAUGAGUCCAGCCACCUCCCCACUGGCCCCCAUGUCACUCCCGCUAGAAAGAUUGUGUUAAGGCCGGGCGCGGUGGCUCACACCUAUAAUCCCAGCACUUUGGGAGGUCCAGGUGGGAGGAUCACCUGAGGUCGGGAGUUCGAGACCAGCCUGGCCAACAUGGAGAAACCCCGUCUCUACUAAAAUUCAAAAUUAGCCAGGCGUGGUGGCGGGUGCCUGUAAUCCCAGCUACCCCGAUCCCGGGAUGGGGAGGUUGCGCUGAGCCGAGAUUGCACUCCAGCCUGGGCAACAAGAGCACAACUCCGUCUCAAAAAAAAGAGACAGAGUCUCGUUCUGUCACCCAGGCUGGAGCGCAGUGGUGCAAUCAUGGCUCACUGGAGCCUUGACCUCCUGGGACCAAGUGAUCCUCCCACCUCAGCCAUCCAAGUAGCUGGGACCUACUGAUGCAUACCCUUGCAGUUGGCUAAUUUAAAAAAAAAAAAACUUGGCCAGGCGCGGUGGCUCACGCCUGUAAUCCCAGCACUUUGGGAGGCCGAGGCGGGCAGAUCACGAGGUCAGGAGAUCGAGACCAUCCUGGCUAACACAGUGAAACCCCGUCUCUACUAAAAAUACAAAAAAUUAGCCAGGAGUGGCUGAGCGCGGUGGCUCAUGCCUAUAAUCCCAGCACUUUGGGAGGCUGAGGCGGGUGGAUCACCUGAGGUCAGGAGUUCGAGACCCGCCUGGCCAACAUGGAGAAACCCCGUCUCUAAUAAAAAUACAAAAUUAGCCAGGAGUGGUGGCGGGCACCUGUAAUCCCAGCUACUUAGGAGGCUGAGGCAGGAGAAUGGUGUGAACCCGGGAGGUGGAGCUUGCAGUGAGCCGAGAUUGCGCCACUGCACUCCAGCCUGGGUGACAGAGUGAGACUCCAUCUCAAAAAAAAAAAAAAAAAAAGAAGAAAAUUUUGUAGAGAAAGGUCUUGCUGUGUGGCCCAGGCUGAUCUCAAACUGCUGGGCUCAAGUGAUUCUCCCACCUCAGCCUCCCACAGUGCCAGGAUUACCGGUGUGCACCACCACGCCCAGCUAAUUUUUAAUUUUUUUGUGGAGAUGGGGUCUUGCUAUGAGGCCAAGGCUGAUCUCAAACUGCUGGGUUCAAGCGAGUCCGCACCUCAGCCUCCAACGUGCCAGGAUUAUAGGUGUGUGCCACCACACCAAGCUAAUUAUUAAAAUUUUUGUAGGGAUGGGGUCUUGCUAUGUUGUCCAGGCUGAUCUCGAUCUCCUGGGCUCAAGGAAUCCUGCCUUGGCCUCCCAAAGCACAGGGCUGCCGCUUGUCAUUCACGUCACUUUCUCAGAGACCCCUUCCCCUUCCCCCUACCCACACUACUGAGAUUCACCUCCCCUCCUAAUCUGCCUCUUCACUGGGUUCAUUUACUACAGAAACGCACUUGCUGAUUCGUUUAGUGUUGUUCUCCCCGACCAGGCAGGGAGCACCUGUAGGUGUGCACAGUAGGUGCUUAAUAAAUACUUGAGAGAUGAAUGAAAAAAGGCAGGGGGAGUGCCUGGUCCCCCAGGGCACAGGAGGCCACAACUUACCCUCCGGGGGGUCGCAGGGCCAUGUGGGUGCCGUCCCGUGCGCCCCCCGUCCAAGAGCUGGUAGCCAAAGCCGUAUUUGCUGGAAUAAUCCACCCAUUUGGGGGCCCAGAGGAUGGGCUGCUGCUCUCCCAGGGGGUCCUGUGUGGCUGGGCACAAACAAAGGUAUGCUGAGCCAGGGGUCAGGGGUCAGGCAUAUAGUAGGCACUCAAUAAAUGUGAUGGACUGAAACCAUGGGUGAGACCCUUCCCACGGCGGGGACCGGACAGAGGCUUGGGGGCUUCGGUGGUGGAUUCUAGGAGACCAGACAUCAACAGAAGCCACGGAACCGUAACUAAUUUCUGGCUUGCAGAGGGAGACUGUGGGAUACUGGCGCACCCCUGGGAAUGAGCAAUUCUCAAAUACUUGCAAUGCUCUGAAAAUACUACACAUUUCUGGGUGUGUGUGUUUUUGUUUGUUUUGUUUUGUUUUGUUUUUUUGAGACAGAGUCUUGCUCUGUCCCCAGGCUGGAGUGCAGUGGCGCAAUCUCGGCUCACUGCAACCUCCGCCUCCUGGGUUCAAGCGAUUCUCCUCCCUCAGCCUCCUGAGUAGCUGGGAUCACAGGCACGUGCCACCACACCCAGCUAAUUUUUGUGUUAUUAGUAGAGAUGGGGUUUCACCAUGUUGGCCAGGAUGGUUUCGAUCUCCUGACCUUGUGAUCCACCUGCUUCAGCCUCCCAAAGUGCUGGGAUGACAGGCAUGAGCCACCACGCCCUGCCCCGUUUCUGGGUUUUUGCUUGUUUGUCUGUUGGCUUUUCAGACAGGGUCUCGCUCUGUUGCCCAGGCUGAAGUGCAGUGGCACGAUCUCAGCUCACUGCAGCCUCCACCUCCGAGCUCAAGUGAUCCUCCUUCCUCAGCCUCCUGAGUAUCUGGGACAACAUGCAUGCACCACCAUGCCCGGCUCAUUUUUUUGUAGAGAUGGGGUCCUGAGGCUGGGCGCGGUGGCUUAUACCUGUAAUCCUAGCACUUUGGGAGGCCGAGACAGGCGGAUCACGAGGUCAGGAGAUCGAGACCAUCCUGGCUAACACAGUGAAACCCCGUCUCUACUAUAAAUACAAAAAUUAGCCGGGCAUGGUGGCGGGUGCCUGUAGUCCCAGCUGCUGGGGAGGCUGAGGCAGGAGAAUGGCGUGAACCCGGGAGGCAGAGCUUGCAGUGAGCCGAGAUCACGCCACAGCACUCCAGCCUGGGCGACAGAGUGAGACUCCGUCUCAAAAAAAAAAAAAAAAAAAAAAAAAAAAAAAAAUGCGCCCAGGCGUGGUGGCUGACGACGUCUGUAAUCCCAGCACUUUGGGAGGCUGAGGCGGCCAGAUCACCGGAGGUCAGGAGUUCGAGACCAGCCUGGCCAACAUGGUGAAACCCUGUCUCUACUAAAAGAAUACAGAAAUUAGCAGGUGUGGUGGCACACGCCUGUAAUCUCAGCUACUCGGGAGGCUAAGGCAGGAGAAUCGCUUUGAACCCAGGAGGUGGAGGUUGUGAUGAGCCAAGAUGGCACCAUUGCACUCCAGCCUAGGCAACAGAGUGAGAUUCCGUCUCUUAAAAAAAAAGAAAGAAAAGGAAAAGAAAAGGCUUCUGGGCUGGAGACCUGGCGUGGGGUUUGGGGCUCCCUCUCUAAGGGUGGCAGUAUGUGUGGGUCAGUGGAGGCUCAGGGAGAGGAGGGGAGAGGAAGAGGGUUUGGGUUCUGGGACACUGGGGAUAAGAGGGGUCCCCCUUUGGAGUGUGGCCUGUGGGCACAGGGCUCUGUGUCCAACGUCCCAGGUCACGUUUCCUCACUCACUGGGUCUCUAACGAGCCCGGGUCAUGAAUUUAAGAGACCGUGAAACGUAAGGCUGCCGCAGAGCCCUCCGUGCCAGGCUCUGCACACAGGAGGGCUAACCCACUCUCCUGAUGUCACCGUGUCCUGGGGCCUCCCUCACCCCUACUCCUCACCCCCAGAAAUACCCAGGAGGGCCCAGGAUGGGAAUGAAGGCAAUUUUACUUGGCUAGUAAGAGUAAAGGUGAUCCUGGGGGCUGGGCCGGCUCCUACCCGGGGGGCCUACAUCCAGGCACAGCUGCAGGUGUCUGAGGGCCGCCUCCACCUCUGGCCGCCGGCUCCCCUCGGGCCCUGGGAAGACAGGUCUUUGUGCCGCAGACAGGUCUGGGUUCCCACCACCAGGCUCUUCCAACCAGUCCCCCUCCCCACGGCUCCAUCCAGGAACAUCUCAUCCUCAACCCAGAGGCGGCAUUCCCAUUUGACAGGCGGGAAAGGUGAGGCCGGGACGGCGGCUGUGACCCUGGUAAGCCACGGCCUUGGUCCCCCUGUCACUUGUAAUUCCUCCCUCCCCACCUGCAGCCCCGGGCUGGGACGGGGAUCUGCUCACCGGCCAGGUCACUCUGCAGGGUCCCUUGUGCGACCAGGUGGAUGGGGCCUUCCAGGCAGGGAACCUCUUUCGCAGACAGGGAGCUCUGAGGUGGGAGCAGCAGGGGUGGGGGUGGCCCCGGCCCCAGCCCCAGGGACAGGCGUGAGGUGGGUGGCAGGCUCUGGCCCCUGCCUGUGCCCUCCGUGCUCUGCACACAGAGGCACUGCUUUCCCCUUGGGAGGCAGCCUCGGAGUGUCUCGGAGGCAUACAGUAGGUGCUCAAUAAAUGUGAUGGACUGAAGCCAUGGAUGGGACCCUUCCCAUGGCCUCGAGCCCGGCCCUUGGGAAAGCCCAGGUGGGCACAUUUGGACACAAAUGGAUCCCAGCUCUGAUGCGUCAGGACGGGACUAGGGGGAGGGGGCCGGGCUUGGAGACCCCAGAAGGGGUUCAGAGAAGCCGGCAUGGGGGAGGGGGUUUUAGCAGGGGCCAGCAUGCCCUCCACCUGUGUCUCCCCGUGUCCCCCACCCCGAUGUCUCACCUCGCCGUCCCACUCCAUGGAGUCAGGGUCUGGCCCACCUUCUCCUGGACCCGAGGCCUCUUUAGGCGUGAAGGGGCCUGAGGGAGGCACAAGGCCUUGGAGGGGGCACAGCCUGGGCCCCAAGCUGGGGGUAGGGGGGCACCUGCCACCCACACCCACCCCUGAUGUGGAGACAGAGCGGAGCAGGUGGCAGUUGUGGGCAGGUGGGAGGUGUGGGCAGGCGGGAGGUGUGGGCAGGUGGGGGCAGGUAGCAGGCGUAGGCAGGUGUGGGCAGGUGGGAGGUGUGAGCAGGUGGGAGGUGUGGGCAGGUGGGAGGUGUGGGCAGGUGGGAGGCGUGGGCAGGUGGGAGGCGUGGGCAGGUGGGAGGCGUGGGCAGGUGGGAGGUGUGGGCAGGUGGGAGGCGUGGGCAGGUGGGAGGUGUGGGCAGGUGGGAGGCGUGGGCAGGUGUUGGGCAGGUGUGGGCGGGGGUGGUACUUACAGGGUGGCCGGCACUGGGUGAGCAGCCGCUGGCCCACCUUCCGGAAGAUCCUGCCCAGAGGCGGGGGUAUGGCGAAGAUGGGGGGACUGUGGCAGGAGUGGGCCGGCAGCCGGUCUGGAGUGAAACCCUUUGGAUGGGGAUUUGGGGUUAUCCCCGGCUUAGGUCACCCAGCCCCUGAGCACCUGGGUUACCUGGGACAGGGCGGGGCCUCCCUCGGCUGAGCAGGGCAGGCUCUGGCUCAUCACCUGCCAGGGACCCCACGCCAGGGACCCCACGCCGAGGACCGCCGCCCACCUGUGUGAAGAAGUCGUCCUGCAGCAGGUGGUCCAGGCUGGGCCGCUCGGCCGGGUUGGGUGCUAGGAGGUGCACGAUGAGGCGGCGCGCAUUGGCAGACAGGUGAGCGGGUUCGGGGUAGUGGCCCUCACGGAUGUUUUGGUACAUCUCCGACAGGGGUGAGGCCAUGAAGGGUGGGGUGCCAGUCAGCACCGUGUACCUGGGCCAGGUGGGGGGCAAGAACCUGGGUGUCCAGGCAUCGCUCAGAGCUACCCCUGCACACUUGGCCAGACCUGCCUACACAGCUUAGCUGUGCAACCCAUAUCGGCUUCCUCAUCUCCCAACAUCCGCCUGCACCUAGCACCCUGUGCAGUCCCAUGCACGCUGCUUGGUGGACACCAGCGUCUGUCCAUCCCCUGCCUGCACCUGGCACCCUGUGCAGUCCCAUGGACCCUGCUUGGUGGACACCAGCGUCUGUCCAUCCCCUGCCUGCACCUGGCUCACCCUGAACUCACCUGCAUACACCUUUUCAAUGCUUCUAUUUUUUUUUUUUAAAGACAGGGUCUCAUUCUGUCACCCAGGCUGGAGUGCCGUUGUGCAAUCACAGCUCACUGCAGUCUCCACCUCCUGAGCUCAAGCAAUCCUCCCAACUCAGCCUCCUGAAUAGCUGGGACUACAGGUGCACACCACCACUCCUGGCUAAUUUUUGUAAUUUUUGUAGAGACAGGGUUUCACCAACUUGGCCAGGCUGGUCUUGAACUCCUGGGCUCAAGCGAUCCUCCUGCCUCGGCCUCCCAAAGCUCUAGGAUUACAGGCGUGAGUCACUGCGCCUGGCCUCCACCUUCCAAUGCUAUCCCAUGCCUGCUCACACCUGCCCUGCGCCCACACACGCUGUAUCCCUGUACACAUACGCCCUGACCUGCCUGUGCCACUGCCACCUGCCCACACCUGUCCACCUCUCUGUGCACACCCUCCCCCGUCCUCCCUCACACACGCCUCCCCACACACGUCCUGUUCAUACUGCACACUUGGCGACAGGUGCCUGUUCCACGCGCCCCACCCUGCACAACGGUCCCCACCUGUUCCGUGCAGGCUCCCCCCCCGCCACACCUGCCCCCCCCGGAGGCCCUGCCCACCUUCUCCAGGACCCCACUCACAUGAUGCAGCCCAGAGCCCAGAUGUCCUACUGGCAGGAGUGACCGUUUCUGGAGACAACCUCAGGGUCCAGGAAGUUAGGGGUCCCACAGAGUACUCUAGGAAGGGCGUCAUGGGGGGCUCAGGAAGGCUGGGAUCCCCGUGCCAGACUUCAGGGCCAGCCGUGCCCACCCGGACGGACUGCUCAGAGCCCUCCCCCCGGCUCUCACCUGUGGCAGCGGCCCCCUGGCCCCACCUUGGCCGCCAGUCCCAGGUCUCCAAUCUUCACCUCCAUGUUCUUGUUAAGGAAGAAGUUACCUGGCAGUGGGAGGGGCAUUGCGCAUGGGGGUGGAUCCGUGCCCACCUCCCGACGCCCCCGCCCACAGUUCCCCUUCCUGGCACUCACUGAGCUUCAGGUCGCGGUGCAGGAUGCACCGCUGGUGCAGGUAGCGCAGGCCGCUGACCAGGCCCCGCAGGUAGUCGCGCACUUCUGGCUCCGUCAGGAUCUGCCGCGCCCUCAGCACGUGGGCCAAAGACUGUGGGUGACCAGCGGCCCCGGAUUAGAAGGCAAAUGUAAGCUCAGCCUGGCCAAGGUGGUAUGGCUGAUUAUGGGAUGAGCACAGGUGAGCGCAGGUGCACACAGGUGAGCAAAGAUGACCCACCCCAAUAGGAGCAUGCGGGUUCAGAUGGGCCCAGGUGGCCACUGAGGGGGGGCACGAACCUUUCCCCACGGGCACAGCUGCCCGGCCCCGGCCCCGCACCUGGCACCACCUUGAGGGUGAACACGGCGCUGGUGGACAUGCUUGUCAGCUUGAGAAGGGCCAGGUGAUUAGGAGUGAACGCAGAGGGGGCAUAUUCUGGCACAGGUGGACCCAGGUGGGCUCAGGUCUACUUAAUGGGCACAGUGAGUUCACGGCCACGGUGGGCACAGCAGGGUGCAGGAGGGGCGCAGGUGACCACAGGUAGGCACAGGGGCAUGCUGGUGGGUACAGGUGGGCAUGGGUGAGUCCAAGGGGGCCAAGAAGAAGCAAACACAUUCUGAUGGGCCCAGGCGGUCACAGGUGAGUCUGAGACGGGCCUGAUGAGCACAGCGUAAGCUGGGCCCAGGUGGAUCAAGAGAGCCUGGGUGUGCCCAGGUGAGUAAAGGAUGGACACAAUUGGCCCUACGUAGGCGUAAGAAGCGCUGGCGAAUGGACAGCAGAGGGCACACAGGAUGGUACGGGGGGCAGCGGCGAGGUGCAGAUGGACACGGGGUGGACAGAGACGGGCACAGCUGACAUGAAUCCUGCCCUCUCCCCGCCCCUGGGCACCUGGCGGCUGCAGUACUCCAGCACCAUGUACACGUGGUCGCGGUCAGCAAAGUGUCCGUGGAAAGCCACGAUGUUGCGGGGUCGCAGGCGGCUAUGCAGGGCAAUCUCACGCUCCACCUGCAGGCACGGCCCCGACAUGUACCCGCCUGCAGCGGGGCACAGGCUGCAGGAUGCUCGCCUGCCUCCUGUACGAUCUCAUGGCCACCCAGGGCUGGGACCAAAGGGCAGGGCCUUCUUCGGGACACGCUGCGGGCUGCGGACUGUGGGCCCUGGGGACCGAUGGGGACACGCACCUUUCCCUGCGGGCGAAGCCACCCGGCCCCAGCCCCGCCACACGGCACCACCUUGAGGGCGAACACGGCGCUGGUGGACAUGUCUGUCAGCUUGUAGCAGCGGCUGAAGGCGCCCUGUGGGGAGGGGUCAGCAGAUCAGUGGGCAGGUGUGCACGGGUGUGCAAGCUGGCAGCGCGUACAGAGGCACAGGGCAGCCAGGGACGCAGGCGCGUCCAGGUCUCUCCACACACACACCGGGGAAAAAACAACACACAGCUCCCACCCUCCCGCCUGGACACACAAGACAUGAUGCACACAAGAAGGCACAGAGACACAGACACAGACACAUCCACGCCUGGUGCAUAGAGGCCACGGACCAGAAGACAGCACCGGAUGCACAACACCACGCCUGAAUACGACACACAAACACGCAACGCCCAGACACAGAGUCACCAUGCAUGGACACACAACACAACACCCAGAUACACAACGCAGCAACACACAAACACAUGAAUAUACAAUGUCUGGACACACAGUCACCACGUGUGGACACACAACACAAUACCCAGACACAGCACAGGAACACACAAACACAUGAACACACAACACCUGGACACACAGUACAACACAUGGACAAAGACACAGAUACAAACACAUGAACACACAACUCCUAGACACACCACAUAUGAACACACAAACACACAAGCACACCACAUGAACACACAACACCCAGACACACAACACAAUGACUGGACACACAAAGGCAUGACGCACAAACAACAGGUGAACAAGCAACACAACACCCAGACACACACACACACACACACACACACACACACGAACACCGCACAGCACCCAGACACUUGGAAGCAGCGGGCACAGACGCGGCACACUCAGACCCUCGCCAGGCUCGCACACACACCCAGGGGCAACACAGCGUCGCAUCCCGAGGCCGAGCCGCACGCCCACACCCCGGACACGCAACCCACGGACACGACGCACAGCGCGCUCAACACGGUUCCCGCCAUGCGAAACCCCGCACGGGAGGCCCCGCGGCUCCGGACGCGCGCCCGCUCCAGACCCCGCGCUCGCAGGGACGCGCCGCGUAGACCGCGCAGGAUCGCCCGCGCGCCCCGGGACCCCAGCCCAGCCCGGUCCGGCCCCGUCGCGGACUCGGGGCGCGGGCCUCCCACCUUGCCGAUCAGCUUCCCGCGCCUGUACACGCGGCCCGAGCCCGGGUCUCGCAGGAAGGCGGCGACCAGGGGGCGACUCCUGCGCCGCCGCCGCGGCCGGGGCUCCAUCGCGCGGACUCUGGCGCAGCCGGGCCGAGACCACCGCGC